GAGCUGGGUUUAGACCGUCGUGAGACAGGUUAGUUUUACCCUACUGAUGAGUUCGUUGUCUAAACAGUAAUCCAACCCAGUACGAGAGGAACCGUCGGUUCAGAUAAUUGGUAAAUGCAGUUAGCUGAAAAGCUAGUGCUGCGAAGCUACCAUCUGUAGGAUUAUGGCUGAACGCCUCUAAGUCAGAAUCCAUGCUGGAAUAGACGAUAAUCACCUUUCCCGAUGUACCGCGAAAAGCUAGUGCCGCCAAGCUACCAUCUGUAGGAUUAUGGCUGAACGCCUCUAAGUCAGAAUCCAUGCUGGAAUAGACGAUAAUCACCUUUCCUGAUGUACUAAGAAUAACUAUAGGUACACUUUUGUGUAUCCAACAUCAUAAAAUUGCAACGCACUCCAGUUAUCCUCAAGUAUGAUGGCUGGAGAGUAUGCUGAAAUACAAUUUCAAAUAUUGGGAAAGAUAAAUCCUUUGUAGACGACUUAAAUACGGAACAGGGUGUUGUAAGCAUGAAAGUAGUCUUUGUACUACGAUCUGCUGAGAUUUAGCCUUCGUUCCACGAUUUGU
rnacentral:ncRNA from 1 species